GGAAGAUGUUGCUUGGUCAAACCCUCCCAUUGGGUGGGUCAGCUCCACUCAAACUACACAGAAUGGCUGAGUGUGGGGACAAGGACAAUGAAUAUAGAGCUUGAAGGAGAGAAAUGGACCCUGGGGAAAGAAGAAAAUCGGUGCCCACUUCCUGCCCACUUCCCAGGAGGAAAGCACAUAACCCAGCAGACAGUGAGAUGAGUCAGGAUGACUCCUUUACCACUGCUCCAAAAGAGAAAGUAAGUCUGUGAGCCCUGUUCCUUUCUGGGAACAGCCAUUGGGGUCUGGGUCCUAGAUGAGUUUCCUGUCUCUUCCCUCCCUCAGUGUCUCCCCACAACUACAAAGCAGCAGGUUUCACUAUGACGCUGAGAAUCCUUCUUUCAAGCUGUCAGCCAUCAGAAGUCGAUCCUGCCAUCAGCUGAAGCAGAUGCCGUAUCCAGGGGAUCAGAAGGUGUUGAUUGGCCAACGCGGAGUCAUGUCCUUGUCCUUGCCCUGUCUACAUUAAAGGUGGGGGUCAGCCCCACCCGCACUGCAUAGGUGAGUAUUGGGAGGUAAGGGAUCCCCGGAGGAUCACCACAGUGUACCCCGGUUGUCAGACUACAAGCCUACAGCCUCACACUGGCUUGGAAAAGUAAGAGGUGGGUUUGGGGAAGCAGAGGGGAGAGGCACAGGGAGGUGACAGCAAGCCAUGGGACAAGAGUCUCUGGCUCUGGAAAGGAGGUGACAAUGACUUCCAACCCAGCAGAGUGUGCGGCCCCACCAGGGAUCCAGAGAACGGCUUCCUCUUGGUGUCUUCAUGCCACAAGAUGUAAAAUAAUCCCCUCAGCUCAGAAAAACACAUUUUAUGGCUGUCUGACUCAUUUCCCACAAAGCUAGGUUCGCCGCCCGCCGCCCCCCCACUACGUUUACGGCUUUUGUUUUGAAAAAAAAAAAAAAAAAGUAUGCUGAAGAUUUUGGGAUGACUUUUGGACAUAAAUUGUUCCCUUCUUCACCCUCGUCCCAGGCCCCCCUCACCUAAUUUCUCAAACGUUGGCUGACAGUGGCUGUGAAGGACCUGAUCCAAGUGUG
rnacentral:lncRNA from 1 species